rnacentral:rRNA from 1 species
GACGAACGCUGGCGGCGUGCUUAACACCUGCAAGUCGAGCGGAGCGGCGAACGGGUGAGUAACGCGUGAGUAACUGCCCCCCUCUCUGGGAUAACAGUUGGAAACGGCUGCUAAUCUCGGAUAGUGGGGGAUGACUCGCGUCCUAUCGGCUUGUUGGUUGGGUAGUUGACUAGCAAGGCGACGACGGGGAGCCGGCCUGAGAGGGCGACCGGCCCCAUUGGGCUGAGGUACGGCCCAAACUCCUACGGGACGCAGCAGUGGGGAAUAUUGCACAGUGGGGGAAACCCUAAUGCAGCAACGCCGCGUGCGGUAAGACGGCCUUCGGGUUGUAAACCGCUUUCGGCCAUGACGCGGUAGUGGCAGAAGAAGCACCGGCUAACUACGUGCCAGCAGCCGCGGUAAUAC